GUCUACUACUAUACCACCCUGAACGUGCCCGAUCUCGCCUGAUCUCAGAAGCUGUGCAGGGUCAGGCCUGGUUAGUACUUUAAUGGGAGACCGUCUGGGAAUACCAGGUGCUGUAGGCU
ensembl:rRNA 5S_rRNA 5S ribosomal RNA